GGUUAAGCGACUAAGCGUACACGGUGGAUGCCCUGGCAGUCAGAGGCGAUGAAGGACGUGCUAAUCUGCGAUAAGCGCCGGUAAGGUGAUAUGAACCGUUAUAACCGGCGAUUUCCGAAUGGGGAAACCCAGUGUGAUUCGUCACACUAUCAUUAACUGAAUCCAUAGGUUAAUGAGGCGAACCGGGGGAACUGAAACAUCUAAGUACCCCGAGGAAAAGAAAUCAACCGAGAUUCCCCCAGUAGCGGCGAGCGAACGGGGAGGAGCCCAGAGCCUGAAUCAGCAUGUGUGUUAGUGGAAGCGUCUGGAAAGGCGCGCGAUACAGGGUGACAGCCCCGUACACAAAAGCGCAUGUGCUGUGAGCUCGAUGAGUAGGGCGGGACACGUGGUAUCCUGUCUGAAUAUGGGGGGACCAUCCUCCAAGGCUAAAUACUCCUGACUGACCGAUAGUGAACCAGUACCGUGAGGGAAAGGCGAAAAGAACCCCGGCGAGGGGAGUGAAAAAGAACCUGAAACCGUGUACGUACAAGCAGUGGGAGCACAGGUUUACCUGUGUGACUGCGUACCUUUUGUAUAAUGGGUCAGCGACUUAUAUUCUGUAGCAAGGUUAACCGAAUAGGGGAGCCGGAGGGAAACCGAGUCUUAAUUGGGCGUUAAGUUGCAGG
rnacentral:rRNA from 1 species